AGAGUUUGAUCCUGGCUCAGGAUGAACGCUAGCUACAGGCUUAACACAUGCAAGUCGAGGGGCAGCAUGUCGGUUGCUUGCAACCGAUGAUGGCGACCGGCGCACGGGUGAGUAACGCGUAUCCAACCUACCCUUGUCCAUCGGAUAACCCGUCGAAAGGCGGCCUAACACGAUAUGCGGUUCUCAGCAGGCAUCUAACGAGAACGAAAUGUGAAGGAGAAGGAUGGGGAUGCGUCUGAUUAGCUUGUUGGCGGGGUAACGGCCCACCAAGGCGACGAUCAGUAGGGGUUCUGAGAGGAAGGUCCCCCACAUUGGAACUGAGACACGGUCCAAACUCCUACGGGAGGCAGCAGUGAGGAAUAUUGGUCAAUGGACGGGAGUCUGAACCAGCCAAGUAGCGUGCAGGACGACGGCCCUAUGGGUUGUAAACUGCUUUUAUAGGGGGAUAAAGUGUGCCACGUGUGGCAUAUUGCAGGUACCCUAUGAAUAAGGACCGGCUAAUUCCGUGCCAGCAGCCGCGGUAAUACGGAAGGUCCGGGCGUUAUCCGGAUUUAUUGGGUUUAAAGGGAGCGUAGGCCGUCUUAUAAGCGUGUUGUGAAAUGUCGGGGCUCAACCUGGGCAUUGCAGCGCGAACUGUGAGACUUGAGUGCGCAGGAAGUAGGCGGAAUUCGUCGUGUAGCGGUGAAAUGCUUAGAUAUGACGAAGAACUCCGAUUGCGAAGGCAGCCUGCUGUAGCGCAACUGACGCUGAAGCUCGAAAGCGUGGGUAUCGAACAGGAUUAGAUACCCUGGUAGUCCACGCGGUAAACGAUGGAUGCUCGCUGUUUGCGUCUGACGUAAGCGGCCAAGCGAAAGCGUUAAGCAUCCCACCUGGGGAGUACGCCGGCAACGGUGAAACUCAAAGGAAUUGACGGGGGCC
rnacentral:rRNA from 1 species